rnacentral:misc_RNA from 1 species
CAAACUGCGAUAAGUAGCGUGAAUUGCAGACGCUUUGAACGCCAAACUUUCGAACGCACAUUGCGCCGUAGGAGUCCUACCCUACGGCACAUCUGGUUGAGGGUCGUGAUCAAAAACUGCAGGACUGUAGCAGUUAGUAGAAAUAGUUGGUGGAUCACAAGUCCAGCCUCCCGCCUCUGGCCGGAUGUGGUCUGCCAUAAUGUAUAGAGGACCUUGCGUUUUGCCUUCGCGGCAAUCGUGAUGGCCUACCACACGGAUGAUCUAUUAGUCGAGGCAAUAGAUCCCGGUCCCCGGGUAUUAUACGACUUUGUCAUACUCGGUGGAUGUCUGGGAUACGGCUAGUACGCUUCAUACGUGCCUGGUUACGAGAGUUUUCGCUCUCCCGACCUCAACUCAGGUGUGAUUACCCGCUGAACUUAAGC